CAUCACUGACCAGGUGCGUACUCCCAUCCCAUCCGCUCCCCCUCUCUCUCACUGUCAGCGACGCUUCCGGCCGCCCUCCCGCGCCGCUCGCCGGACCCGCCGUUUCUCAGGAAAUGGCUGCGCUGCAACCGUCCUUCUCGUCACUGAUGGCUAUGAAUAAUGGCUGCAACACCAUGAAGUUCCCUAAGACUGCACUUUUGCCUGGUUUCGGUGGCAUUUCGCGCCCUCAGGAUGUGCAGGACAGGAAUGCCAGCCUCACCUGUUCAAGGCCUAGGGCAGUCUCAGUGACUGAUCAGUCAGUAGCAGAGCCAGCAAAACCCAGGCAAUCUAAACAUACAGUUGAUCCCGCUGCUCCAGAAUUUCUGCCGCUCCCAGCAUUUGAAGACUGCUUCCCACGGAGCACCAAAGAAUGCAGUGAAGUUGUUCAUGAGGAAUCAGGUCAUGCCCUGAAGGUUCCAUUUCGGAGAGUCCAUUUGACCGGAGAUAGCGGGCAUUUUGAUACAUAUGACACCAGUGGUCCACAAAACAUAAGCCCAAGGCUUGGACUCCCAAAGAUAAGAAAGGAAUGGAUUGACAGGAGGGAGAAAUUGGGUAGUCCUCGAUACACCCAAAUGUACUAUGCUAAGCAGGGAAUCAUAACAGAGGAGAUGUUGUACUGUGCCAAACGUGAGAACCUUGCUCCUGAAUUUGUCCGGUCAGAAGUCGCCCGUGGACGAGCCAUUAUCCCUUCCAACAAGAGGCACCUGGAAUUGGAACCCAUGAUUGUUGGAAGAAACUUCCUUGUAAAGGUGAAUGCAAACAUUGGGAAUUCAGCUGUUGUGAGCUCCAUUGAGGAGGAAGUCCACAAGCUCCAGUGGGCCACAAUGUGGGGAGCAGAUACAGUCAUGGACCUUUCAACAGGGCGCCAUAUCCAUGAGACCCGGGAAUGGAUUAUUCGUAACUCUUCGGUUCCUAUUGGAACUGUUCCUAUUUACCAAGCACUUGAGAAAGUUAAUGGUAUUGCUGAAGAUCUGAGCUGGGAAGUCUUUAGGGAGACUUUAAUUGAACAAGCCGAGCAGGGUGUUGACUAUUUCACCAUCCAUGCUGGUGUGUUGCUUCGUUAUAUUCCUCUCACAGCAAAGAGAAUGACUGGCAUAGUUUCUCGUGGUGGAUCAAUCCAUGCAAAAUGGUGUUUAACGUAUCACAAGGAGAACUUUGCUUAUGAGCAUUGGGAUGACAUUCUUGACAUAUGUAACCAGUAUGAUGUGGCAUUAUCAAUUGGUGAUGGCCUGAGGCCUGGUUCUAUUUAUGAUGCUAAUGAUAGCGCUCAGUUUGCAGAACUGCUGACUCAAGGGGAACUAACUCGCCGAGCAUGGGAGAAAGAUGUACAGGUGAUGAAUGAAGGUCCUGGGCAUAUUCCGAUGCAUAAAAUUCCUGAAAAUAUGGAGAAACAGCUGGAGUGGUGCAACGAAGCACCUUUCUAUACGCUGGGUCCAUUGACAACUGAUAUUGCACCUGGUUAUGAUCACAUCACCUCAGCCAUUGGUGCUGCCAACAUUGGGGCUCUUGGCACCGCACUUCUUUGUUAUGUAACACCAAAGGAGCACCUUGGGUUGCCUAACAGGGAUGAUGUUAAGACAGGUGUGAUAUCCUACAAAAUCGCUGCUCAUGCUGCUGAUUUGGCAAAGCGUCACCCCUAUGCACAAGCAUGGGAUGAUGCACUAAGCAAGGCAAGGUUUGAGUUUAGAUGGUUGGACCAAUUUGCUUUAUCCCUGGAUCCAGUUACUGCAAUGUCUUUCCAUGAUGAAACACUACCAUCUGAUGGUGCCAAAGUAGCACAUUUCUGCUCCAUGUGUGGUCCCAAGUUUUGCUCGAUGAAAAUCACGGAGGAUAUUAGAAAAUAUGCUGAUGAACAUGGUUACGGGACAGUAGAGGAAGCUGUGAGGCAAGGAAUGAGUGAUAUGAGUGCUGAAUUUUUGGCUGCAAGAAAAACAAUUAGUGGCGAACAACAUGGUGAAGCUGGAGGGGAGAUCUAUGUGCCAGAAAGCUACGUAGUUCAAAAAUAAGAUGUCCUUGGCAGCCGUCUGAUCGAGGUGAUGCAGAUUUGAUGGCCAGGCCGUUUGCCAGCAGCACUUCUACCAUCUUUUGUUAGGAGGUGGGGUGCUUGUAUUCCCAACGAUCUGAAGGCCCCUUAGCCUGGAUCGUUGCGAUAUGGGCUGAGAAAGUCCCUUUGAACCUGAACAGGAUAAUGCCUGCGAAGGGAGUGUGCAUUUCUAUUUUCAUGUUUCCCAGGAUACAUUCAACCCUCGACAUUCUGGGAAUCGAGGGACCAAGUUUUCCUGAAUGUGUGGAGCGCACCCACUGGAUAUGCAUGUUUCCUUCUCUGACGCAACAUGGUAAUGUACACGAUUUCUUGAACCAGCAUACAUAUUGGCAUUUCUCCAAGAGGAGAGAAUAUUUACAGUCAUAGUGUUAUCAUGGAACACAUAAAAUUUAGUCAUCAUGGAACACAUAAAAUUUAGUCAUACGUGUGGCUAGUUUAGUCCAACUUCAUAAGCCCAUCACAUUUUUUUUGGAGGAAUCCCAUUACAUCUUGCAAAGCAUUCACAAUGCCCGGUGUAAUUUUACCUUUUUACCCCUAUCCAUGUACAUAUUUCUGUAGCAUAGUAGAAGAUGUAACUAGACUAACAGAUUGGAAUGGUUUGUACAUGCCACUUGUCAUUUCAGAACAAAAGCACCAGCUAAACUCUUUUUGACUUGUUUA